rnacentral:rRNA from 1 species
CAGCCGCCGCGGGAAUACGUAGGGUGCGAGCGUUGUCCGGAUUUAUUGGGCGUAAAGAGCUUGUAGGUGGUUUGUCGCGUCGGGAGUGAAAACUCAGGGCUUAACUCUGAGCUUGCUUUCGAUACGGGCUGACUUGAGGGAGGUAGGGGAGAAUGGAAUUCCUGGUGGAGCGGUGGAAUGCGCAGAUAUCAGGAGGAACACCGGUGGCAAAGGCGGCUUACUGGCUCAUACUGGACGCUGAGGUGCGAAAGCGUGGGGAGCAAACAGGAUUAGAUACCCCGGUAGUCCCUGUCUCUUAUAC